AAGUCGUAACAAGGUUUCCGUAGGUGAACCUGCGGAAGGAUCAUUAUUGAAACUUCUUUGGAAGUAGUACUGUUGCUGGCCUUGUAAUGAGGUAUGUGCACGUACUAUUUCUAAUCUAUUCAUCCACCUGUGCACUUAUUGUAGGAGUUUUUUGAGGUUAGCUUGUUGUAGGCUUACGGCUUAUGCGGGUUGACUUUAAAAAGGCUUCUAUGUCUUACAAACCUAUUGAAGUAUGUUUUAGAAUGUCUUUUAUUGGGACUUUAUUGGCCCUUUAAACUUGUACAACUUUUAGCAACGGAUCUCUUGGCUCUC
rnacentral:misc_RNA from 1 species